AACGAACGCUGGCGGCAGGCUUAACACAUGCAAGUCGAACGUCUUCGCAAGAGGGCGUGGCAGACGGGUGCGUAACGCGUGGGAACAUACCUCUCGGUUCGGAAUAACCCAGGGAAACUUGGGACAAUACCGGAUACGUGCGAAAGCAGAAAGAUUUAUCGCCGAGAGAUUGGCCCGCGUCCGAUUAGCUGGUUGGUGAGGUAACGGCUCACCAAGGCGACGAUCGGUAGCUGGUCUGAGAGGAUGAUCAGCCACACUGGGACUGAGACACGGCCCAGACUCCUACGGGAGGCAGCAGUGGGGAAUAUUGGACAAUGGGCGCAAGCCUGAUCCAGCCAUGCCGCGUGGGUGAUGAAGGCCCUAGGGUUGUAAAGCUCUUUCGCCAGGGACGAUAAUGACGGUACCUGGAUAAGAAGCCCCGGCUAACUUCGUGCCAGCAGCCG
rnacentral:rRNA from 1 species